UAGGGAAUCUUCGGCAAUGGGGGGAACCCUGACCGAGCAACGCCGCGUGAGUGAAGAAGGUUUUCGGAUCGUAAAGCUCUGUUGUUAAGGAAGAACGAGUGUGAGAAUGGAAAGUUCAUGCUGUGACGGUACUUAACCAGAAAGGGACGGCUAACUACGUGCCAGCAGCCGCGGUAAUACGUAGGUCCCGAGCGUUUUCCGGAUUUAUUGGGCGUAAAGCGAGCGCAGGCGGUUAGAAAAGUCUGAAGUGAAAGGCAGUGGCUCAACCAUUGUAGGCUUUGGAAACUGUUUAACUUGAGUGCAGAAGGGGAGGGUGGAAUUCCAUGUGUAGCGGUGAAAUGCGUAGUUAUAUGGAGGAACACCGGUGGCGAAAGCGGCUCUCUGGUAUGUAAACGACGCUGAGGCUCGAAAGCGUGGGGAGCGAACAGG
rnacentral:rRNA from 1 species